GGAGCUGUGGUUCAGAGGUAGAGCGCUCGCCUAGCAUGCGUGAGGCACUCGGUUCAAUCCUCAGCACCA
rnacentral:tRNA from 1 species